UGCUCAGAGCGGGGUGGACGUGGGCCUCCGAGGCUGACCUCCCAGCGGACCAGGAAUCUGCCUGGAGAUAAUCAAGAUCGACACCGUGCCUUAGAACGCACCUUAGUACCCUGUCAUCUGAACACACCAGGGCUGGUUUAACCCCCUCACUGCUGUCACGGGAGCCCCAGGUCCUUCCCCCUCGGGGAUGGGACAAGGCGUGCGGGGCAGGUUGCCCUGGGCUCCUGGGUUGCCUGGCUCUGCUUUCCUCUCACUGAGAAGGCCUCUCACUCUGCGCCCGAGGACUGAGGCGGUCUGCCCUGCGCCCGGUGAGUGCACGGACUGCGUCACGCCACAAGCACACGCCUGGGGAGGGGGGCUUCCUCCAGGGCCCCCACUGACUCUGCCCUGCCCUCCAGGGGCCAACACCAGGUUGCCCCAGAAUCUCUGAGUAGGGGUGGCAGCAUCCCAGGGUCAAGUGUACUGGUGAUGGGUUUGGGGUCCAUAAUUAUGGCUUGGAAACCGUUGAUUGCGUCUUUUAUGGCCUUGUCCUUGCCAGAGGGAAAUGGGCCCAGUCCCAAAACAGAAGGAGGUAAGUCUUAGCAUGUGACAGCAGGCCCACCAGCUGUGGUGACUGGCUCUGGAGAGAGGACAGACUGACAGUGUGUGCUAGCUUGGGGGUAGGGUCAUGUUCUAGAAGGAGUCCAGGCUUUGGGGCGGAGGGGCUGAUGAUGCCAGGCCCACAUCGCCCUGGGGGCAGGGGGCCUCCCCUGCUUGUGGGAGGGAGAGAAGUAACCAGACCUGCUCAAGGUAUUGGCCUUUUUUUUUUUUUUUUUUUUUUUUUGGUCCCUCCAGGGUGGGGUGGGGUGGGGAGGGCACCCCGAGAGGCCGGCCAUCUUGAGAGCACACACCCAGCUCCAGAGUGGACAUGGAGUGCGCAUCUUUGGCAAGGCCCUGAGCAGUCCCAUGCCUCAGUUUCCUGAUCAGAAAAGCAUCUGCACACACCCACUCGUCGUAGGCAGAGGGAACCGCUUACACAGAUAAAUAACCCAGCACAGUAGCUGGUGGAAAACGGGGGCCUUCCCCCCCUCCUCCGUCCUGUCUGAAACCCUGAAGCUUCCCUCCUA